rnacentral:rRNA from 1 species
AUUGAACGCUGGCGGCAGGCUUAACACAUGCAAGUCGAGCGGGGUGAUGGUGCUUGCACUAUCACUUAGCGGCGGACGGGUGAGUAAUGCUUAGGAAUCUGCCUAUUAGUGGGGGACAACAUCUCGAAAGGGAUGCUAAUACCGCAUACGUCCUACGGGAGAAAGCAGGGGAUCACUUGUGACCUUGCGCUAAUAGAUGAGCCUAAGUCGGAUUAGCUAGUUGGUGGGAUAAAGGCCUACCAAGGCGACGAUCUGUAGCGGGUCGGAGAGGAUGAUCCGCCACACUGGGACUGAGACACGGCCCAGACUCCUACGGGAGGCAGCGGUGGGGAAUAUUGGACAAUGGGGGGAACCCUGAUCUAGCCGUGCCGCGUGUGUGAAGAAGGCCUUAUGGUUGUAAAGCACUUUAAGCGAGGAGGAGGCUCUUUUGGUUAAUACCCAAGAUGAGUGGACGUUACUCGCAGAAUAAGCACCGGCUAACUCUGUGCCAGCAGCCGCCGUAA